rnacentral:rRNA from 1 species
CGUGUAGGCGGUUUGCUAAGUCAUGUGUGAAAUCCCUCGGCUCAACCGGGGAACGACGCAUGAAACUGGCAAGCUAGAGUACCAAAGAGGGGGUGGAAUUCCCGGUGUAGCGGUGAAAUGCGUAGAUAUCCGGAGGAACACCGGUGGCGAAGGCGGCUUUCUGGACCGACACUGACGCUGAGGCGCGAAAGCUAGGGGAAGCAAACG